rnacentral:rRNA from 1 species
GAUGAACGCUAGCGGGAGGCCUAAUACAUGCAAGUCGAACGGUAAGGUCCCUUCGGGGAUACACGAGUGGCGGACGGGUGCGUAACGCGUACGAAACAUACCUUCAACAGGGAGAUACCUCCGGGAAACUGGAAAUAAUACCCCAUAGUAUUGUGACAUCGCAUGAUGUUACAAUUAAAGCUUUGGCGGUUGAAGAUUGUCGUGCGUCUGAUUAGCUAGUUGGUGAGGUAACGGCUCACCAAGGCGACGAUCAGUAGCUGGUCUGAGAGGAUGAUCAGCCACACUGGAACUGAGACACGGUCCAGACUCCUACGGGAGGCAGCAGUAGGGAAUAUUGGACAAUGGGCGGAAGCCUGAUCCAGCCAUCCCGCGUGUAGGAAUAAGGCCCUAUGGGUCGU